GGCUCAUUAAAUCAGUUAUCGUUUAUUUGAUAGUACCUACCCACUACAUGGAUAACCGUGGUAAUUCUAGAGCUAAUACAUGCUAAAAACCCCGACUUCGGGAGGGGUGUAUUUAUUAGAUAAAAAACCAAUGCCCCUCGGGGCUCCUUGGUGAUUCAUAAUAACUUAACGGAUCGCAUGGCCUUGCGCCGGCGACGGUUCAUUCAAAUUUCUGCCCUAUCAACUUUCGAUGGUAAGGUAUUGGCUUACCAUGGUUUCAACGGGUAACGGGGAAUUAGGGUUCGAUUCCGGAGAGGGAGCCUGAGAAACGGCUACCACAUCCAAGGAAGGCAGCAGGCGCGCAAAUUACCCAAUCCCGACGCGGGGAGGUAGUGACAAUAAAUACUGAUACAGGGCUCUUUUGGGUCUUGUAAUCGGAAUGAGUACAAUUUAAACCCCUUAACGAGGAACAAUUGGAGGGCAAGUCUGGUGCCAGCAGCCGCGGUAAUUCCAGCUCCAAUAGCGUAUAUUAAAGUUGUUGCAGUUAAAAAGCUCGUAGUUGAACCUUGGGCCUGGCUGGCCGGUCCGCCUCACCGCGUGUACUGGUCCGGCCGGGCCUUUCCUUCUGGAGAGCCGCAUGCCCUUCACUGGGUGUGUCGGGGAACCAGGACUUUUACUUUGAAAAAAUUAGAGUGUUCAAAGCAGGCCUUUGCUCGAAUACGUUAGCAUGGAAUAAUAGAAUAGGACGUGCGGUCCUAUUUUGUUGGUUUCUAGGACCGCCGUAAUGAUUAAUAGGGAUAGUCGGGGGCAUCAGUAUUCAAUUGUCAGAGGUGAAAUUCUUGGAUUUAUUGAAGACUAACUACUGCGAAAGCAUUUGCCAAGGAUGUUUUCAUUAAUCAGUGAACGAAAGUUAGGGGAUCGAAGACGAUCAGAUACCGUCGUAGUCUUAACCGUAAACUAUGCCGACUAGGGAUCGGGCGA
rnacentral:rRNA from 1 species